rnacentral:lncRNA from 1 species
CGCCGAGUCAUUUAUUUUCUUUGAAAUUCAUCAUCAUCAUCAUCAUCAUCAUCUGUGAAAUGAAGAACAAGAGGUCUUGGCCAUCAUCACUCUGACAGCUGGCAUGAAGAUCACCUCAACAGGAUAGGCAACUCUAACUAUGAGGUGCUUUAUGUUCCAGUAAACAACCUAUAGUUAUUACCAUUAUUAAAAAUACCAGUUGUUAAAGUAGCAGCAGAGAUGGAAACAGGUGGGUUGUGUGGGCUGAGAUGUCACUCUUCUGGAAUGUGCAGUGAA